rnacentral:rRNA from 1 species
CACGCCUAAACAUGCAAGUCGAACGAAGUAGCAAUACUUAGUGGCAGACGGGUGAGUAACAUGUAGGUAUCUGCCCUUUGGCCUGGAAUAACACGAGGAAACUUGUGCUAAUACCGGAUAAGUCUUUACGGAGAAAGCUUUAUGCACCAUUGGAUGAGCCUGCACUUGAUUAGUUUGUUGGUGGGGUAAUGGCCUACCAAGACUGUGAUCAAUAGCUGAUUUGAGAGGAUGAUCAGCCACAUUGGGACUGAGACACGGCCCAAACUCCUACGGGAGGCAGCAGUGGGGAAUCUUGCACAAUGGAGGAAACUCUGAUGCAGCGAUGCCGCGUGAGUGAAGAAGGCCCUUGGGUUGUAAAGCUCUUUCGUCGGGGAAGAAAAUGACUGUACCCGAAUAAGAAGGUCCGGC